rnacentral:rRNA from 1 species
UACGAAGGGGGCUAGCGUUGUUCGGAUUUACUGGGCGUAAAGCGCACGUAGGCGGAUUGUUAAGUCGGGGGUGAAAUCCUGGAGCUCAACUUCAGAAUUGUCUUCGAUACUGGCUUUCUAGAGGCUGGAAGAGGUUAGUGGAAUUCCCAGUGUAGAGGUGAAAUUCGUAGAUAUCGGGAGGAACACCUGUGGCGAAGGCGGCUUUCUGGGCCUUACCUGACGCUGAGACGCGAAAGCGUGGGGAGCGAACCGG